GGUCUGGUGGUGUAGUUGGUUAUCACGUCAGUCUAACAUAUAGAUGAUUUGAAUCGUCUGUUUGGGAACACUGAAGGUCUCCGGUUCAAGUCCGGGCUAGAUCA
rnacentral:tRNA from 2 species